UAAGGGUGGUUAUAGCGCAGGUGUUCACCUCUUCCCAUUCCGAACAGAGACGUUAAGCCCUGCUGCGCCGAUGGUACUACGCUAUUCCGUGGGAGAGUAGGUCGCCGCCCACCU
rnacentral:rRNA from 1 species